GCUCCAGCUCUGAAGGUGAUUAAGCCAUUUGGCAGGUCUAAGCCUCAUACUUUCCUGGAAACGACUACUGGUGAUAAGCAGAAAUGGCUUGACAUGCCACAGAUAUUCCAACAACUGAGGCAGAAGACUGAGGAAGACCUAUCAUCUCAGAACUAUCCAAACAGAUUUUUUAUUGAAUUGAAAGUCUUCGAGGACAGAUUGAUAAUCAGAUUUAAACAUGCCAAGAGCUAUCACUGCCAAAGGCUACUGACUACAUUCCUCUUAGAAGGAGAAAAGCCAGUUGAAUAAAACCCUGGACCAAGCAUGCAUCUCUUCCCACCCAGUCAUGAUCUACGUCAUCCUCUGGGUUUCUUCCUUUGACCACUCCCC